UUGGUUUUCCAUUAUUUCUUAUGGGAAAAAUUCGACCAGAACUCAAACUUUUUAAGAUUCGAUCCGGAGUCCGGAACGGAUUAAGUUCGAGAACCGAGAUACCACUGUAAUUAUUCCGACUUCAUCAAGCAUUUCUACUACGCUAAGUAAAACAGAGCAUACAUAAAGGCACCCAACCAAAGGUAGGAAACAAGAACCUGAUGUUCCUGGCUGAAAUCCACUGUGAAUAAAUCAGAUACUAAAGUCCCUUUUGCGGCUAAUGUUUUCACUCCGAUAUAUUCAAACUCAGUAGCUACUGUAGCACUUCCAGAGAAGUUACUGCAUCCAUCACUUCAUUACACAUAUCCAUACUGUAUCCAUAACGUCAGACACGUUCAAUGCAGCAAACUGGAUGCAGCCAUUUCUGUUCAGAUGCAAACUACUGAAUAGUUGAUUGAAGCACGCAGCGUUCUCCCCUGGGGGAAAAACAUCAGGCGUAUGUUUGCAUGUAUUAUUAAACACGGCUUUGAUAACAGGAUCGCCGCCCCCUGCUUCUGCUCGUCCGCGUGGCAGAGCUCCGCGUAGGUGCCGCUGUAAUUGCAGUGCAGAGAGCUUCACCAGUGGAUUUUCACAGCUUGUUUCAUUAUGCAGCUUCAUGUGUUUGGACGUUUGCUUCAGCUUCCUGUUGGGCUGUCAGAACAGAGAAACCAGGCUGCUAUUGUAUUUCCCUCACCUGAAUUUAAAGAGCCCGGCUUUGGAGUUUGAGAGGCGUCAUUUGCCAAGUCACUGGCCCUGUCACUGUGACUUGACAGCCCAGACAAACCCAUGCAGCUCGGCAGAGCCUUAAUUGGAGGAAAGAUCUUCUCAAGGACAAACAGGGUCAGCUUGGUGGAUUCUGGAAUGACUGAUGACUGUGCUUGGCUGCAUAUUGAGAUAAUGUCUUCACAUUGUUGGGCACUGGACGGAUUUCUCCAUUGGGCAGUGUCCAAAAUGAAACCAGCAGCUUCCUGGUAUGAAAUGUGAGCUGUUACAUAACACUGGACAUCCUGCUUAUCUACGUUACUGCUUGUCUUGUUGGUUCUGCCACCAACACCAAUUUGAAGGUACAUCUACGGUACAGUGAGUGAGAUGGACUGACCAAAUUGAAGGUACAUCUACGGUACAAUGAGUGAGAUGGACUGACCAAAUUGAAGGUACAUCUAUGGUACAGUGAGUGAGAUGGACUGACCGAUUUGAAGAUACAUCUACAGUACAGUGAGUGAGAUGGACUGACCAAAUUGAAGGUACAUCUACGGUACAGUGAGUGAGAUGGACUGACCGAUUUGAAGUACAUCUACGGUACAGUGAGUGAGAUGGACUGACCAAAUUGAAGGUACAUCUACGGUACAAUGAGUGAGAUGGACUGACCAAAUUGAAGGUACAUCUAUGGUACAGUGAGUGAGAUGGACUGACCGAUUUGAAGAUACAUCUACAGUACAGUGAGUGAGAUGGACUGACCAAAUUGAAGGUACAUCUACGGUACAGUGAGUGAGAUGGACUGACCGAU